rnacentral:rRNA from 1 species
GGUGGGCGGCCCGGUGGGUGGCCUGCCUCGCGGCGGCUCAUGCGGAGGGCGGGCUGGCGGAGGGAAUGCGGUCAGCGGUGGAAGCGGCGAAUCUAGAUGUGCGGCAGGCCCUUCUUGUGGAUCUUCCCAGCUACGGUGCUCUUCAGGACCUAGUUCACGCUGGGUCCCGGGCGUGUGGCCUUGCCUGGUUUCUAGCAGCUGACUUAGAACUGGUGUGGACCAGGGGAAUCCGACUGUUUAAUUAACAAAAAGCAUGGCGAUGUGAUUUCUGCACAGUGCUCUGAAUCUCAAAGUGAAGAAAUUCAAUGAAGCGCAGGGAAAAGGCCAGGUCUGGGCUAUGCUGGGGUGAUGAGACAAUCGCCAUGCUGGUCUUCGCUGACGAUUUGGUUCUGGUGAAUCUUGAAAUCUUGGAGAGAUUCUGGCAGAUGAGUGUGCUUAGGGUUCAGCCCAAGAAGUGUCAUAAGUUCUACAUGGACAAGGGCGUGGUGAACGACUGUGAAACAUGGGAGGUCGGUGGAGCACAUAUCCACAUGAUCUCCCGAAGUGAAUCAGUUUAUUUGGGGUUCCAGGUGGGCCCUGGCUGAGGCAUUGUGACUCCACAUCUUAUUCCAACAGUCCGGAAAUGGAUUGAAAGAAUUUCAAAGGCCCCAUUGAAGACCUCACAGCGGUUCAGGAUUCUCAUUUGCCAUUCCGAGGGUCAUUUAACAGGCCGAUCUAGGCGGGGUACAAGCAACCAAACCAGCCCAGCUUGAUUGAGUGAUUCGGAAGGCUGUGAAGCAAUGGCUGCAUUUGCCAAAAACUACGUGCAAUGGGCUGUUGUAUUGAUGGAGCUGCAACGGCAGACUGGAAAAACUCGUUCCAUCGAUUCAGUUGCGGCGAAUGUACUGGAUGUCCAGGUCACCCAACUAUUGGACGCGUAACCUAACUCUGCACGCUGUGCAGCAAUCUGACUGGAAGGGAUUGUGGGUCAAGGCCGGUGGGGAUCUCAACAGUGUGCUUGUAAUGGGCAAUGGGGAACCUGUCUGGGACGAUGCAGGAAGUCCGCCAGUUUUCCCCGACUGGCGGCGCGGUGUGAGCCUGAUAUGAUCAAUAAUUCAUGGCUUGCUGACCCCGUAGCUGUUGGGUUUAGGCAAAGACACUGGACUGUCACUGAGGCCAGGGGUGUACUUGACCAGGGAGUUCCUGGAGUGGGGAAAGGACAAGUCAGGAGCAGCCUGCAGGCGCACCCAGGUCUGGUUGGAAGACGCUAAGGGCGGCCUCAGGAAUGCCGACCUAGUCUGCAAGAAGGACGAUACUGUCCUUGUCCUCGAUGUGACCAUUCGUUAUGAGUUAGAUGGCGACACUAACUUGAGCUGCAUCGGAAAAAGUGGCCCACUACCAACCAGUAGCAGCUCAGAUAGCACAGAAGGUGGGACAGAAGGUUUUGUGAAGGUAAUAGGCUUCUCCGUUGGGGCAAGGGGAAAAUGGCCAGCAUGCAACAACACAGUGUUGACAGAGUUGGGAAUACCUGUAUGCCUGAGAAGGGUGUUUGCUCGUCUGGUGAGCCGGAGGGCCCUGUUGUUCUCCUUGGGUGUGCUGUGGGACUUUCUGUGUAAACCAGAUGAGUGAGGGUUGCGUGCAUCCCCCAGGGCUGCGGUGGAACUGGAAUUGCACGGGUCAGUGGGGCUCUUAAUUAUUACAAUAACUAAUACGCAGCAUUCCUAAGGCCAUGUGACGUACACUAUAAUACGGAAAGCGUGUCUUGAACUGCCUUAGUAGCCAAAUGCCUCGUCAUCUAAUUAGUGAUGCUCAUGAAUGGAAGAACGAGAUUCCCACUGUCCCUAACCCCCAUCCAGCGAAAACACAACCAAGGGAAUGGUCUUUGCAGAAUCAGCGGGGAAAGCAGACCCUGUUGAGCUUGACUCUAGUCUGGCACCGUGAAGAGACAUGAGAGGUGUAGAAUAAGUAGGAGGCUCCGGCCACCGGUGAAAUACCACUACUCCUAUUGUUUUUUCACUUACCCGGUGAGGCAAGAAGGCAAGCCCCGAGGAGGCACUCCAUUCUGGUGUCAACUACCCCUCGCCUGAGGUCCACUGUCCGCUCCGGGGACAGUGGCAGUUGGGGAGUUUUACUGGGGCGGUAAACCUGUCAAACGGUAAUGCAGGUAUCCUAAGGCGAGCUCAGGGAGGACAGAAACCUCCCAUGGAGCAGAAGGGCAAAAGCUUGCCUGAUCUUGAUUUUCAGUACGAAUACAGACCAUGAAAGCGGGGCCUCACAAUCCUUCUGACUUUUUGGGUUUUAAGCAGGAGGUGUCAGAAAAGUUACCACAGGGAUAACUGGCUUGUGGCGGCCAAGCGUUCAUUGUGACGUCGCUUUUUGAUCCUUCGAUGUCGGCUCUUCCUAUCAUUGUGAAGCAGAAUUCACCAAGCGUUGGAUUGUUCUUCCACUAAUUGGGAAUGUGAGCUGGGUUUAGACCGUUUUGUGACAGGUUAGUUUUACCCUACUGAUAAUGUGUUGUUGCAAUAGUAAUCCUGCUCAGUACGAGAGGAACCGCAGGUUCAGACAUUUGGUGUAUGUGCAUGGCUGAGGAGCCAAUGAGGCAAAGCUACCAUCUGUUGGAUUAUGACUGAACGCCUCUAAGUCAGAAUCCCGCCUAGACAUAAUGAUUCAGCGACGCGGCAUCACUGCCAUUGGUCUCUGAUAUCCGGCCCUCGGGCCUGUGAAGAGAGCCGCUCGUGAUUGGGCUGGGGUGUGGCCGGACGAUGGUCACCCCUCCCCGAUCUCGCAUCGCAUAUUUGUGGAGAACGUGGUGCUAAAUGACUUGCAGGCGACCUGA